UUACGGCCACAUCAGCUUGAAACAUCGGGCUCCUGUAGGAUCACCGAAGUUAAGCAACGUCGAGUCGGGUCAGUACCUAGACGGGUGACCGCUUGGCAAUAUCAGGUACCGUAAG